rnacentral:misc_RNA from 1 species
UUUCCGUAGGUGAACCUGCGGAAGGAUCAUUACUUUUCAGGACAAACGGGGGUCUGUAGCUUGCCGCAGCCCUUGCCUGCAUCCGUGUUUUUUGCGUACUUAUUGUUUCCUCGGUAGGCUUGCCUGCCGGUUGGACAACCACAAACUCUUUUGCAAUUGCAGUCAGCGUCUGAAUAAACUUAAUAGUUACAACUUUCAACAACGGAUCUCUUGGUUCUGGCAUCGAUGAAGAACGCAGC